rnacentral:rRNA from 1 species
GAUGCCCUCCGACGUCAGCUCUUAGUAACAGUUACGUGCUUUCACACUUCAUGCGACGCCGCGUGGAGGAAGACGGCCUUCGGGUUGUAAACUCCUGUCAGCAGGGAGGAAAAAUGGUUUGGUUAAUACCUUUGCCAUUUGACAGUACCUGCAGAGGAAGUCACGGCUAACUCUGUGCCAGCAGCCGCGGUAAUACAGAGGUGGCGAACGUUGUUCGGAUUUACUGGGCGUAAAGGGUCCGCAGGCGGCCCGGUGUGUCGGAUGUGAAAGCUCACAGCUCAACUGUGGAAUUGCAUUCGAAACUGCCGGGCUAGAGUACUGGAGGGGAGAAGGGAACACUUGGUGUAGCGGUGAAAUGCGUAGAUAUCAAGUGGAACACCGGAGGCGAAGGCGCUUCUCUGGACAGAUACUGACGCUCAUGGACGAAAGUUAGGGUAGCGAAAGGGAUUAGAUACCCCUGUAGUCCUGAACCGUAAACGGUGUGCGCUAGGCGUGGGUGGCUUUACCCCCAUCCGUGCCUGAGCUAACGCAUUAAGCGCACCGCCUGGGGAGUACGGUCGCAAGAUUAAAACUCAAAGGAAUUGACGG